rnacentral:rRNA from 1 species
UUAAGUUAAUAAGGGCGCACGGUGGAUGCCUUGGCACUAGGAGCCGACGAAGGACGUGACAAACGACGAUAUGCCUUGGGUAGCUGUAAGUAAGCGAUGAUCCAGGGAUUUCCGAAUGGGGGAACCCAACAGGUAAUACCUGUUACCCACAUCUGUUAAGGAUGUGAGGAGGAGGACGCAGUGAACUGAAACAUCUAAGUAGCUGCAGGAAGAGAAAGCAAAAGCGAUUGCCUUAGUAGCGGCGAGCGAAACGGCAGGAGGGCAAACCGAAGAGUUUACUCUUCGGGGUUGUAGGACUGCAAUGUGGACUCAAAGAUUAUAGAAGAAUGAUUUGGGAAGAUCAGCCAAAGAGAGUAAUAGCCUCGUAUUUAAAAUAGUCUUUGUACUUAGCAGUAUCCUGAGUACGGCGGGACACGUGAAAUCCCGUCGGAAUCUGGGAGGACCAUCUCCCAACCCUAAAUACUCCCUAGUGACCGAUAGUGAACCAGUACCGUGAGGGAAAGGUGAAAAGCACCCCGGGAGGGGAGUGAAAUAGAACCUGAAACCGUGUGCCUACAACAAGUUCGAGCCCGUUAAUGGGUGAGAGCGUGCCUUUUGUAGAAUGAACCGGCGAGUUACGUUAUGAUGCGAGGUUAAGUUGAAGAGACGGAGCCGUAGGGAAACCGAGUCUGAAUAGGGCGCCUUAGUAUCAUGACGUAGACCCGAAACCAUGUGACCUACCCAUGAGCAGGUUGAAGGUGCGGUAAGACGCACUGGAGGACCGAACCAGGGCACGUUGAAAAGUGCUUGGAUGACUUGUGGGUAGCGGAGAAAUUCCAAACGAACUUGGAGAUAGCUGGUUCUCUCCGAAAUAGCUUUAGGGCUAGCGUCGACAUUAGAGAUUCUUGGAGGUAGAGCACUGUUUGGGUGAGGGGUCCAUCCCGGAUUACCAAUCUCAGAUAAACUCCGAAUGCCAAUGAAUUAUGGUCGGCAGUCAGACUGCGAGUGCUAAGAUCCGUAGUCGAAAGGGAAACAGCCCAGACCACCAGCUAAGGUCCCAAAAUAAUUGUUAAGUGGAAAAGGAUGUGGGGUUGCACAGACAACUAGGAUGUUAGCUUAGAAGCAGCUAUUCAUUCAAAGAGUGCGUAAUAGCUCACUAGUCGAGUGACCCUGCGCCGAAAAUGUACCGGGGCUAAAACAAUUUACCGAAGCUGUGGAUACCUUUAUAGGUAUGGUAGGAGAGCGUUCUAUGUGUGAUGAAGGUAUACCGUGAGGAGUGCUGGAACGCAUAGAAGUGAGAAUGCCGGUAUGAGUAGCGAAAGACAGGUGAGAAUCCUGUCCACCGUAAGACUAAGGUUUCCAGGGGAAGGCUCGUCCGCCCUGGGUUAGUCGGGACCUAAGGAGAGACCGAAAGGUGUAUCCGAUGGACAACAGGUUGAUAUUCCUGUACUAGAGUAUGUAGUGAUGGAGGGACGCAGUAGGCUAACUAAAGCAGACGAUUGGAAGAGUCUGUCUAAGCAGUGAGGUGUGAAUUGAGUCAAAUGCUUAAUUCUAUAACAUUGAGCUGUGAUGGGGAGCGAAGUUUAGUAGCGAAGUUAGUGACGUCACACUGCCAAGAAAAGCUUCUAGCGUUUAAACAUACUCUACCCGUACCGCAAACCGACACAGGUAGUCGAGGCGAGUAGCCUCAGGUGAGCGAGAGAACUCUCGUUAAGGAACUCGGCAAAAUGACCCCGUAACUUCGGGAGAAGGGGUGCUGACUUAAAGUCAGCCGCAGUGAAUAGGCCCAAGCAACUGUUUAUCAAAAACACAGCUCUCUGCUAAAUCGUAAGAUGAUGUAUAGGGGGUGACGCCUGCCCGGUGCUGGAAGGUUAAGAGGAGUGCUUAGCGUAAGCGAAGGUAUGAAUUGAAGCCCCAGUAAACGGCGGCCGUAACUAUAACGGUCCUAAGGUAGCGAAAUUCCUUGUCGGGUAAGUUCCGACCCGCACGAAAGGCGUAAUGAUUUGGGCACUGUCUCAACGAGAGACUCGGUGAAAUUUUAGUACCUGUGAAGAUGCAGGUUACCCGCGACAGGACGGAAAGACCCCAUGGAGCUUUACUGCAGUUUGAUAUUGAGUGUCUGUACCACAUGUACAGGAUAGGUAGGAGUCUAAGAGAUCGGGACGCCAGUUUCGAAGGAGACGCUGUUGGGAUACUACCCUUGUGUUAUGGCCACUCUAACCCAGAUAGGUGAUCCCUAUCGGAGACAGUGUCUGACGGGCAGUUUGACUGGGGCGGUCGCCUCCUAAAAGGUAACGGAGGCGCCCAAAGG